AGGCUUUGGGCAUUUCUGUGGAGUGUCGGGAUCUGUCUAUGCUGGAAAUGGCUAUUAAAUACUACGAUGACAGUGAAAUGCCAUUUGAUUAUGUUUAUCAUAUUUUAUUAACUACAUGUGAUGAUGCAGAGUUUUUUAAACGCUCGUUGAGAAUAUUCAUUGAGAUCCUUCUAGCAUCUUCUAGAAAGAAUUAUUUUCUGGUGUUUAAAUGUGCAGUUAAAUUGAACGAUAUUGAAUUUCUUGCUAAUCUGUUGGCUUCUUUGACUUCUG